rnacentral:rRNA from 1 species
GACGAACGCUGGCGGCGUGCCUAAUACAUGCAAGUCGAGCGGACAGAUGGGAGCUUGCUCCCUGAAGUCAGCGGCGGACGGGUGAGUAACACGUGGGCAACCUGCCUGUAAGACUGGGAUAACUCCGGGAAACCGGGCUAAUACCGGAUAACUCUUUUCUUCACAUGAGGAAAAGCUGAAAGAUGGUUUCGGCUAUCACUUACAGAUGGGCCCGCGGCGCAUUAGCUAGUUGGAGAGGUAACGGCUCCCCAAGGCGACGAUGCGUAGCCGACCUGAGAGGGUGAUCGGCCACACUGGGACUGAGACACGGGCCCAGGACUCCUACGGAGGCAGCAGUAGGGAAUCUUCCGCAAUGGACGAAAGUCUGACGGAGCAACGCCGCGUGAGUGAUGAAGGUUUC